rnacentral:rRNA from 1 species
UACGGGGGGGGCAAGCGUUGUUCGGAAUUACUGGGCGUAAAGGGCUCGUAGGCGGCCAACUAAGUCGGAUGUGAAAUCCCCAGGCUUAACCUGGGAACUGCAUCUGAUACUGGAUGGCUUGAAUCCGGGAGAGGGAUGCAGAAUUCCAGGUGUAGCGGUGAAAUGCGUAGAUAUCUGGAGGAACACCGAUUGCGAAGGCAGCUCACUACGCAGUUAUUGACGCUGAGGCACGAAAGCGUGGGGAUCAAACAGG